AAUAGAUACCCGGGUAGUCCACGCCGUAAACGAUGAGUGCUAAGUGUUAGAGGGUUUCCGCCCUUUAGUGCUGCAGCUAACGCAUUAAGCACUCCGCCUGGGGAGUACGGCCGCAAGGCUGAAACUCAAAGGAAUUGACGGGGGCCCGCACAAGCGGUGGAGCAUGUGGUUUAAUUCGAAGCAACGCGAAGAACCUUACCAGGUCUUGACAUCCUUACGACCUCCCUAGAGAUAGGGAUUUCCCCUUCGGGGGACGGAAGUGACAGGUGGUGCAUGGUUGUCGUCAGCUCGUGUCGUGAGAUGUUGGGUUAAGUCCCGCAACGAGCGCAACCCUUGAUCUUAGUUGCCAGCAUUCAGUUGGGCACUCUAAGGUGACUGCCGGUGACAAACCGGAGGAAGGUGGGGAUGACGUCAAAUCAUCAUGCCCCUUAUGACCUGGGCUACACACGUGCUACAAUGGAUGGUACAAAGGGCUGCGAAACCGCGAGGUCGAGCCAAUCCCAUAAAACCAUUCUCAGUUCGGAUUGCAGG
rnacentral:rRNA from 1 species